rnacentral:rRNA from 1 species
AGUGAACGCUGGCGGUAGGCCUAACACAUGCAAGUCGAACGGCAGCACAGUAAGAGCUUGCUCUUACGGGUGGCGAGUGGCGGACGGGUGAGGAAUACAUCGGAAUCUACUUUUUCGUGGGGGAUAACGUAGGGAAACUUACGCUAAUACCGCAUACGACCUACGGGUGAAAGCAGGGGAUCUUCGGACCUUGCGCGAUUGAAUGAGCCGAUGUCGGAUUAGCUAGUUGGCGGGGUAAAGGCCACCAAGGCGACGAUCCGUAGCUGGUCUGAGAGGAUGAUCAGCCACACUGGAACUGGGACACGGUCCAGACUCCUACGGGAGGCAGCAGUGGGGAAUAUUGGACAAUGGGCGCAAGCCUGAUCCAGCCAUACCGCGUGUGUGAAGAAGGCCUUCGGGUUGUAAAGCCCUUUUGUUGGGAAAGAAAAGCAGCAGGUUAAUACCCCGCUGUUCUGACGGUACCCAAAGAAUAAGCACCGGCUAACUUCGUG